rnacentral:rRNA from 1 species
AGAGUUUGAUUAUGGCUCAGGAUGAACGCUGGCGGCGUGCUUAAUACAUGCAAGUCGAACGGAGUUCAGAUGAAACCUAGUGAUUCUGAACUUAGUGGCGGACGGGUGAGUAACGCGUGGGUAACCUGCCCUGUACAGGGGGAUAACGGCUGGAAACGGCCGCUAAAACCGCAUAACAUCGGAAUACCGCAUGAUGUUCCGGUCAAAUAUUUAUAGGUACAGGAUGGGCCCGCGUCUGAUUAGCUAGAUGGUGAGGUAACGGCCCACCAUGGCGACGAUCAGUAGCCGUACUGAGAGGUAGAACGGCCACAUUGGGACUGAGACACGGCCCAAACUCCUACGGGAGGCAGCAGUAGGGAAUAUUGGUCAAUGGGGGAAACCCUGAACCAAGCGACGCCGCGUGAGUGAAGAAGUAUUUCGGUAUGUAAAGCUCUAUCAGCAGGGACGAUAAUGACGGUACCUGACUAAGAAGCCCCGGCUAACUACGUGCCAGCCGCAGC